rfam:Mus musculus chromosome 13, GRC primary reference assembly.
CCAAAGGCUCUUUUCAGAGCCACCACUUCUUCAUAUAAGAGUCUAG